rnacentral:rRNA from 1 species
GACGAACGCUGGCGGCGUGCUUAACACAUGCAAGUCAAGGGGGCCCGCAAGGGUAACCGGCGAACGGGUGCGUAACACGUGAGCAAUCUGCCUAGAUGUGGGGGAUAGCCGGCCCAACGGCCGGGUAAUACCGCAUACGCUCGUCGACUGGCAUCAGUUGACGAGGAAACUUUCGAGGCAUCUAGAGGAGCUCGCGGCCUAUCAGCUAGUUGGUGGGGUAACGGCCUACCAAGGCGGUGACGGGUAGCUGGUCUGAGAGGAUGGCCAGCCACAUUGGGACUGAGAUACGGCCCAGACUCCUACGGGAGGCAGCAGUGGGGAAUAUUGCGCAAUGGUCGAAAGGCUGACGCAGCGACGCCGCGUGGGGGAUGAAGCAUUUCGGUGUGUAAACCCCUGUUAGCUCGGGACGAACAAGCCUUUUCGAGGGUCUCUGACGGUACCGAGUAGAGGAAGCACCGGCUAACUCCGUGCCCAGCAGCCGCGGUAAU